rnacentral:rRNA from 1 species
GACCUCAAAUCAGGUAGGACUACCCGCUGAACUUAAGCAUAUCAAUAAGCGGAGGAAAAGAAACUAACAAGGAUUCCCCUAGUAACUGCGAGUGAAGCGGGAAAAGCUCAAAUUUAAAAUCUGGCGGUCUUUUGGCUGUCCGAGUUGUAAUCUAGAGAAGUGUUAUCCGCGCUGGACCGUGUACAAGUUUCCUGGAAUGGAGCAUCAUAGAGGGUGAGAAUCCCGUCUUUGACAUGGACUACCAGGGCUUUGUGAUGCGCUCUCAAAGAGUCGAGUUGUUUGGGAAUGCAGCUCAAAAUGGGUGGUAAAUUCCAUCUAAAGCUAAAUAUUGGCGAGAGACCGAUAGCGAACAAGUACCGUGAGGGAAAGAUGAAAAGAACUUUGGAAAGAGAGUUAAACAGUACGUGAAAUUGCUGAAAGGGAAACGCUUGAAGUCAG